rnacentral:rRNA from 1 species
GUCCACGCCUUAAACGAUGAGAGCUAGUUGUCAGUAAGCAUGCUUAUUGGUGACGCAGCUAACGCAUUAAGCUCUCCGCCUGGUGAGUACGGCCGCAAGGUUAAAACUCAAAGAAAUUGACGGGGGCCCGCACAAGCGGUGGAGCAUGUGGUUUAAUUCGAAGCAACGCGCAGAACCUUACCCACCUUUGACAUCCCGUGCUACCUAGAGAUAUCUAGGGUCCCUUCGGGGCGCGGAGACAGGUGCUGCAUGGCUGUCGU